rnacentral:rRNA from 1 species
AAAGGAUGUGGCGUUGCCCAGACAACUAGGAUGUUGGCUUAGAAGCAGCCAUCAUUUAAAGAGUGCGUAAUAGCUCACUAGUCGAGUGACACUGCGCCGAAAAUGUAUCGGGGCUAAACAUAUUACCGAAGCUGUGGAUUGUCCUUUGGACAAUGGUAGGAGAGCGUUCUAAGGGCGUUGAAGCAUGAUCGUAAGGACAUGUGGAGCGCUUAGAAGUGAGAAUGCCGGUGUGAGUAGCGAAAGACGGGUGAGAAUCCCGUCCACCGAUUGACUAAGGUUUCCAGAGGAAGGCUCGUCCGCUCUGGGUUAGUCGGGUCCUAAACUGAGGCCGACAGGCGUAGGCGAUGGAUAACAGGUUGAUAUUCCUGUACCACCUAUAAUCGUUUUAAUCGAUGGGGGGACGCAGUAGGAUAGGCGAAGCGUGCGAUUGGAUUGCACGUCUAAGCAGUAAGGCUGAGUAUUAGGCAAAUCCGGUACUCGUUAAGGCUGAGCUGUGAUGGGGAGAAGACAUUGUGUCUUCGAGUCGUUGAUUUCACACUGCCGAGAAAAGCCUCUAGAUAGAAAAUAGGUGCCCGUACCGCAAACCGACACAGGUAGUCAAGAUGAGAAUUCUAAGGUGAGCGAGCGAACUCUCGUUAAGGAACUCGGCAAAAUGACCCCGUAACUUCGGGAGAAGGGGUGCUCUUUAGGGUUAACGCCCAGAAGAGCCGCAGUGAAUAGGCCCAAGCGACUGUUUAUCAAAAACACAGGUCUCUGCUAAACCGUAAGGUGAUGUAUAGGGGCUGACGCCUGCCCGGUGCUGGAAGGUUAAGAGGAGUGGUUAGCUUCUGCGAAGCUACGAAUCGAAGCCCCAGUAAACGGCGGCCGUAACUAUAACGGUCCUAAGGUAGCGAAAUUCCUUGUCGGGUAAGUUCCGACCCGCACGAAAGGCGUAACGAUUUGGGCACUGUCUCAACGAGAGACUCGGUGAAAUCAUAGUACCUGUGAAGAUGCAGGUUACCCGCGACAGGACGGAAAGACCCCGUGGAGCUUUACUGUAGCCUGAUAUUGAAAUUCGGCACAGCUUGUACAGGAUAGGUAGGAGCCUUUGAAACGUGAGCGCUAGCUUACGUGGAGGCGCUGGUGGGAUACUACCCUAGCUGUGUUGGCUUUCUAACCCGCACCACUUAUCGUGGUGGGAGACAGUGUCAGGCGGGCAGUUUGACUGGGGCGGUCGCCUCCUAAAAGGUAACGGAGGCGCUCAAAGGUUCCCUCAGAAUGGUUGGAAAUCAUUCAUAGAGUGUAAAGGCAUAAGGGAGCUUGACUGCGAGACCUACAAGUCGAGCAGGGUCGAAAGACGGACUUAGUGAUCCGGUGGUUCCGCAUGGAAGGGCCAUCGCUCAACGGAUAAAAGCUACCCCGGGGAUAACAGGCUUAUCUCCCCCAAGAGUUCACAUCGACGGGGAGGUUUGGCACCUCGAUGUCGGCUCAUCGCAUCCUGGGGCUGUAGUCGGUCCCAAGGGUUGGGCUGUUCGCCCAUUAAAGCGGUACGCGAGCUGGGUUCAGAACGUCGUGAGACAGUUCGGUCCCUAUCCGUCGUGGGCGUAGGAAAUUUGAGAGGAGCUGUCCUUAGUACGAGAGGA